CCCUUAGAUGUUCUGGGCUGCACGCGCGCUACACUGAUGCACUCAACGAGUUUACGACCUUGCCCGAUAGGGUUGGGUAAUCUUUUUAAAAUGCAUCGUGAUGGGGAUAGAUUAUUGCAAUUAUUAAUCUUCAACGAGGAAUUCCUAGUAAGCGCGAGUCAUCAGCUCGUGCUGAUUACGUCCCUGCCCUUUGUACACACCGCCCGUCGCUCCUACCGAUUGAGUGCUCAGGUGAAUAAUUCGGACUGCAGCAAUGUUUGGAUCCCGAACGUUGCAGCGGAAAGUUUAGUGAACCUUAUCACUGAGAGGAAGGAGAAGGCGUAACA
rnacentral:rRNA from 1 species